rnacentral:lncRNA from 1 species
ACAAUCAAGCAAUCAAAAUCCAAGCAUCAGAAAACGCAACCAGUUCAAACAAGGAACAGUGGCAUCACAGCAAACUCGACUGAUCAACUUUAGCUCGAAAUUCUGUCUUUCUGGUGCAAGAAGUUCCUUCCUCUGCCUUUUUAGUUCCCUGAAUGAAAAAGCAACACAAAGUGAAGCUCUUGUUAACAUUUGAAUGGUACAUUUAUGCUUAGUGUCAUUGACAUAUAUGACAAAUCUGAAAGUUAAUUGGUAUAUCACCUGUCAUCAGUUUUACUUCUUUAGGAAACAAUGCUCUAAAUUUGACUUGAAGUUGUUGUUAUCCCAUUUCAGUAGGUUCCACCAUUCUGAUGUUCCUUUCAUUAGCCUGAUCUUAUUGGAGGUUUGAAUAGAGAAAGGCAACUCCUU